CACGCCUCUCGCCUCAUAAGAUGGGGCAAUCGGGGAAGGCUUCUCAGAGGAAGGGGCACGGAGAGAGACCCAGUUGGAGUAAAGAGCCAGCACUGAGGCCCCCAGGGGAAGGGACUGGCCCGGAAAGACCCGAGGUGGACAGGCUUGGUGUGUCCAACACCCCGGGGAGUCCAGGCCCCUGGGCUGGCACAGAUCCACAAAACAGGAUGGGGGGGUUUCUCAGCGGUGCAGGUGUCACCGGCCCCGUUCUACAGACAAGGAAACUGAGGCUCAGAGAGGAGGACCUUGCCCCAGGUUCCAGCCCCUGGGGCCUCGGGGUUCCCUGGGCACAGACACCGGCCACCCCCCCCCCCAGCAGGGCCCAGCAGGGACCCCGAGGGCGGCCCUGGGACCUGAGCCUCUCCCUCGUGCCACCCUGAGGAUCCAUGCGUCCCUGGGAAGGAGGCCGGGAGGGGAGAUGUUCCUGGAGUGGGGAGUGGGGGGGGGGCGGGGGACGCAGAUCUGAGGUUGACUUGACCUAAUAUGCGCCCGAAGGAAGCCACGCGGCCGAAGGCACAGCUGGAGGCCAGAACACGGGGGCUGCUACAGCUUCUACUUCAGAGGGAGAAAGCUUGUGGGGCUCACUUGACCCCCUCUGAGCCAGAAUCGAGAAAUCCCGGAGGAGGCGGAGAACUCGGGGCCCCCGGGCCGUCUGAAUGCUUCUUUCCGAGGGUCCCAGCCCUGCCUCGAGCAUCCCCACUCGCCCCAGCGGCCAGAACCGCGCCUGCAUUCAGUAGGUACCCAAUAAAUGCCUGCUCGUG